UGGUGGAGGCGGAGGUGGAGGUGGGGCCUGUCCAGUGCUCCAUCCCAACAAGUGCAAGGACAGGCCCCACCUCCACCUCCGCCUCCACUA
rnacentral:pre_miRNA from 1 species